CCAUACUUCCCAGAGACCGGAGCAGUCAGAUCCACCAAAGACCAUGUAAAUGAUCUGGAUGAUGCAACGCCAGAAUGAUGCAAACCAAACAACCAGCAAGCCUGAGCAGCCAAAUGGAAACAUUCACAGCUUACCUAUAAAAUUUUCGUGGUCUGCUAACUGGAAUGGUGACUACUAAUUACGUGUGGGUGAUGACGUCAGUGAGACGGACAGGCAGGCGUACCAACCUAUGAAAGACAAAGUCGCCUGUAUUGAUGUUCUUCGACUCUCUCUGAAGGCGAAGUGAAGGCUGCGAACAAAAUGGCGGAAGACCCCACAUAUCUAAAGGUGUGGAAAUAGGAGAGAGCGACGCUUCCAUCGGAUCGGAGAGCAUAACGUAGCGUCGCUGAUUCCGUCCGCCGAUGACUCCACCGCCAUUACGCUUUGCCAAGACGACUGCUACUCACGACGCAUCAGCAAUGGCGGAGAAGUUCUAGAGGGGUGACGGACCCCGCUGAGGGUCGAGGGGAGACGACUGAGGACGCUGAGGGGAAGAGGGAGAACUGGCGUGUAGUACCUUGUAUUGGAGAGGGGAAAUGUACUCACUUCUCCAUAGACGUCCACCCAUGUAGCACAAA